UGGGGAAUAUUGCACAAUGGGCGCAAGCCUGAUGCAGCCAUGCCGCGUGUGUGAAGAAGGCCUUCGGGUUGUAAAGCACUUUCAGCGGGGAGGAAGGCGAUAAGGUUAAUAACCUUGUCGAUUGACGUUACCCGCAGAAGAAGCACCGGCUAACUCCGUGCCAGCAGCCGCGGUAAUACGGAGGGUGCAAGCGUUAAUCGGAAUUACUGGGCGUAAAGCGCACGCAGGCGGUCUGUCAAGUCGGAUGUGAAAUCCCCGGGCUCAACCUUGGAACUGCAUUCGGAACUGGCAGGCUAGAGUUUUGUAGAGGGGGGUAGAAUUCCAGGUGGAGCGGUUAAAUGCGUAGAGAUCUGGAGGAAUACCGGUGGCGAAGGCGGCCCCCUGGACAAAGGCUGACGCUCAGGUGCGAAAGCGUGGGGAGCAAACAGG
rnacentral:rRNA from 1 species